UACGGGGGGAGCAAGCGUUGUUCGGAUUUACUGGGCGUAAAGGGCGCGUAGGCGGCCACCGCAAGUCGACUGUGAAAUCUCCGGGCUUAACCCGGAAAGGUCAGCCGAUACUACGGGGCUAGAGUGCAGAAGGGGCAACUGGAAUUCUCGGUGUAGCGGUGAAAUGCGUAGAUAUCGAGAGGAACACCUGCGGCGAAGGCGGGUUGCUGGGCUGACACUGACGCUGAUGCGCGAAAGCUAGGGGAGCGAACGGG
rnacentral:rRNA from 1 species